UACAGAGGGGGCAAGCGUUGUUCGGAAUUACUGGGCGUAAAGGGCGCGUAGGCGGCCUUCUAAGUCGAACGUGAAAUCCCCGGGCUCAACCCGGGAACUGCGUCCGAUACUGGAAGGCUUGAAUCCGGGAGAGGGAUGUGGAAUUCCGGAUGGAGUGGUGAAAUGCGUAGAGAUCCGGAGGAAUACCAGAGGCGAAGGCGGCCGACUGGGCUGCACCUGACGCUGAGCCGCGAAAGCCAGGGGAGCGAACGGG
rnacentral:rRNA from 1 species